GCGGGCGCCCCUCCCCCAGCCUUGCUGCGGCCUUGCAGUUUGAUCUCAGACUGCUGUGCUAGCAAUCAGCGAGACUCCGUGGGCGUAGGACCCUCCUAGCCAGGUGCAAGAUAUAAUCUCGCGGUGCGCCGUUUUUUAAGCCGGUCCGAAAGCGCAAUAUUCGGGUGGGAGAGACCCGAUUUUCCAGUGAGAUGAACCCAGUACCUCAGAUGGAAAUGCAGAAAUCACCCGUCUUCUGCGUCGCUCACGCUGGGAGCUGUAGACCGGAGCUGUUGCUAUUCGGCCAUCUUGGCUCCUCUCCUGCACUGCAAGAAUGGACUAAUACGCUAUGUGAAGACAAAGGGGAUGUCUGCAAGCCAGGACGAGUGCGUCUACCAGAAACUGAGUUCUGCUGGACUUUGAUCUAGGACAUCCAGCCUCCAGAAUGGAAUGUGCCAUAUGUGGAGACCUGCAUGGAAAGGAACUGAGGAUGCUCUCUCACUAAAAGCUAGAAGGAACUGAGGCCCUCAGUCAACAGUCUACAAGACACUGAAUCUUGCCAGCAGCCAAGCAGUGAGCUUGAAAGCAGAUCUAUCAUCAGCUGAACCUUCAGAUGAGACCGCAGCCUAAGCAGAUACCUUGGUUGCAGCCAUGUGAGACAACCUGAAACAGAGGGCACAGCUAAGCCUCAGCCAGGUUCAUGACCCUCUGAGGAAACUAUGGAGAGAGGGGAACCCGAGUCAAGGAAUGCAAAUGGCCUCUGGAAGCUGGAAAAAGCAAGAAAUGGAUUCUCCUUUAGAGCCUGUGGAAUAAAAUGCAGUCAUGCUGACACCUUGAUUUUACCUCAGUGAGACCAAUACUGGAGUAUGACCUUCGGAGCUCGCAAAGGCCACAUAAGGACAGUGAGAAGGCAGCCACCUGCAAGCCAGGAAGAAAGGUCUCACCAGAUACCAACCCUGCCAGCAUGUUGAUCUUGGACUUCCAGCCUCCAAAACUGGCCUUCUGCUCACAUGGGCUUCCGUGCACCUGCUUCAGGAGACAGCAACACUUGCGCCCGCACCGCGGCAGGCUCCCAUCACCUGGUGGAUAUGCCGCGCCGAGUCUCAUCACACCUUAGUGAAGGAACACAUGGACCCAUAUGUUAGCGGAUGUAUUUACAUCGUUUUAUACAGAAAGGGGAAAUGGAGUCUUGCUCUGUCACACAUGCUAGAGUCCAGUGGUAUGACCUCAGCUCACUGCAAUCUCUGCCUCCCGGGUUCAAAUGAUUCUUCUGCCUUGACCUCCCUGGCAGCUGGGACUACAGGCCUGCACCACCACGCCUGGCAAAUUUUUUAAUUUUUUUUAGUAGAGAUGGGGUUUCACCAUGUUGGCCAGGCUAGUCUCGAACUCCUGACCUCAAAUGAUCUGCCCGCUUUGGCCUUCCAAAGUUCUGGGAUUAUAGGAGUGAGCCACCAUGCCCAGCCUGUUCUUAAGUCUCCUAGAACAGGGAUUCUGAAACACAAAACUCAUCUGGCAAAGAGUUCUAAGAUGCAUUUCACAGCACUCCACAGAAGGAAGGUUCAGAGCCAAUCAUCUGCACCAGUGCCCAACUUAAAAACAUCCUUGUAUCAGUUUUCCCUUAUUUCCUGUUCUCCUCCCUAAACCUUCAGUCCUGUUCCUGGCAAUCACUUCCAGAAUAAACCAUAUACAUGCCUCAGAUUCUGAUCUCAGAGGAUCCCAGACUAAUACAGAGAUACACUAUGCUGAUUGCUUAACCCGCAUUUUCUCAUUUAAUUGAAACAUAUACGUGGUAAGGUAUUUAUUCAUACCUGCAUGAUUUUGUAGAUAAACCUUAGAGAAAUUAAUACUUUUCAGAAGGCAAUUAAAGUAACACAGCAAGCAAUUGAUAAAACCUGGAUUCGCCAAGUUAAACUGGUCUGGUUUCAAAACCUGUAUUGUUUCCUAACAUACCACCUAAAUUCUCAAAUGGUAUUGGAAGGGGUUAAAUGAGAUUAUAAAUGUAAAAUUCUUGGUAUAGUUAAUUCUCAAAAAUAGGCCUUCAAUCUAUAGAAUCCAUUUGUAGAACUAUCUUCAGGAAGGAAAAAUACAUCACCCUCCACCCCACCCUCAAAGAAACAUGGAAAAUUUAAACUAAGACUUCAAAUCUUGAGCUCUGCACAUCUUAGAAUAUUUUGUUUCUAUGAAAAAGAAGCUUUGGAGAAUGUGUAUCAGUCUGAAACACUGUAGUGUGAGCACAGAAAUCAGCCCAUCACAUUAUGCCCCAAAUGCUGAAGUACGGCUGAAUCUGAUUGCCCUGCAUUUUUAAGUACUGCAAAAUUCUGGGACUUGGGAUCAUCUGUUACUACAGACUUGUCAUAUUCCACUGAAAUAAAACAUAUAGUCUAAUUUGCAAAGUUCUCGUGUGGAAAGAGUCCUAAAAUGUAUAUAACCUCUGUCCCAGCAAUUCCAUUAGGAAUUUAUCCAAUCCAAAAUCUAAAAUGCAGAAGAUCUACAUAUUGAAUGCUUAUGGCAGCAUUCUUUAAAAUUAUGAAAAUUGAAAGCAACCAAAAUCCUCAAAAACAGACUAAUGGCUAAGUAGUAUAACCAUACUAUGAAAUGUGGUAAUUGAAUAUUCAAAUUUGUGUUGUAUAAAAAAUUAAUAAUGGUAUAACAUUUGGCUAUAAAAUAGAAUGAAUUCAAUUGUAUUUUUUAAACCAGUACAUCUGCAUAUUUGUGAACCUAAAAGAUAAGACGGUAAAUAUUUAACUGUAUUUUUCUUUAAUUGUUGGGGCUGUGAAUUAUUUUAAUUUUCUUAAUGCUUUUUAAUCUUCUCUGAAAAUUUUAUAAUAAUCUCUAAUAAUAAUUUAUAGCAAAAAAACCCAAAAUUUUAAAGGGUAUUCUUUUUGUAUUUUUAUCAAGAAUAAAAAUAUAUAUCAAU
rnacentral:lncRNA from 10 species